UCUUAGCUGAGUGCCCCGCGGGGCCCGAAGCGUUUACUUUGAAAAAAUUAGAGUGUUCAAAGCAGGCCCGAGCCGCCUGGAUACCGCAGCUAGGA
rnacentral:miRNA from 1 species